rnacentral:rRNA from 1 species
UACGUAGGUGACAAGCGUUGUCCGGAUUUACUGGGCGUAAAGAGCGCGCAGGCGGUCGAUCAAGUCGGGUGUGAAAGCCCCCGGCUCAACUGGGGAGGGUCAUUCGAUACUGAUCGACUCGAAGGCAGGAGAGGGUAGUGGAAUUCCCGGUGUAGUGGUGAAAUGCGUAGAUAUCGGGAGGAACACCAGUGGCGAAGGCGACUACCUGGCCUGUUCUUGACGCUGAGGCGCGAAAGCUGGGGGAGCAAACGGG